GACAGCACGGCGUUGUAGGGCUCCACCACCGUGUCGGACACCUUGGGCGAGGGCAGGACGCUGAAGGCGUUCAGGAUGCGGUCGGGGAAGUCCUCGCGGAUCCUGCUCA
rnacentral:miRNA from 14 species